UGAGGGAUAUUGCACAAUGGGCGCAAGCCUGAUGCAGCGACGCCGCGUGGGUGAUGAAGGUCUUCGGAUCGUAAAACCCCUUUUCUGCGUGACGAUGAUGACGGUAGCGCAGGAAUAAGUGUCGGCUAACUACGUGCCAGCAGCCGCGGUAAAACGUAGGACGCAAACGUUAUCCGGAAUUACUGGGCGUAAAGGGCGCGCAGGCGGUUGGAUAAGUGAGGCAUGAAAGCCCCAUGGCUAAACCUGGGGAGGUUGUCUGAGACUGUCUGACUAGAGUACGAUAGAGGGGUGUAGAAUUCCGCGUGUAGUGGUGAAAUGCGUAGAGAUGCGGAGGAAUACCGAGAGGCGAAGGCGGCACCCGUGGAUCGUAACUGACGCUGAGGCGCGAAAGCAUGGGUAGCG
rnacentral:rRNA from 1 species